ACGGGUGAGUAACACGUGGUCAACCUUCCCUACAGUGGGGAUAACUAGCCGAAAGGUUAGCUAAUACCGCAUAACAUCUACGAGUGGCAUCAUUUGUAGAUCAAAGGAGCAAUCCGCUGAAGGACGGGACCGCGUCCCAUUAGUUAGUUGGUGGGGUAACGGCCUACCAAGACUCCGAUGGGUAGCUGGUUUGAGAGAGCGACCAGCCACACUGGGACUGAGAAACGGCCCAG
rnacentral:rRNA from 1 species